GACGAACGCUGGCGGCGUGCUUAAUACAUGCAAGUCGAACGGAAAGGCCCGGCUCUUGCGCGUUGCUCGAGUGCCGAACGGGUGAGUAACACGCGAGUAACCUGCCCUUGACUGUGGGAGAACUCCAGGAAACUGGGGCUAUAAUCGGAGAUGAGCUCUUGCUGCAUGGUGGGGGUUGGAAAGUUUCGGCGUUUGGGGAUGUACUCGCGGCUUAUCAGCUUGUUGGUGGGGUAGUGGCUUACCAGGGCUUUGACGGGUAGCCGGCAUGGGAGGGUGACCGGCCACAUUGGGACUGAGGUACGGACCAGACUCCUACGGGAGGCAGCGGUGGGGAAUAUUGCACAAUGGGCGGAAGCCUGAUGCAGCGACGCCGCGUGCGGGAUGACGGCCUUCGGGUUAUAAACCGCUUUCGCCUGUAACGAAGCGUGAGUGACGGUAAUGAGUCAAGAAGCACCGGCUAACUACGUG
rnacentral:rRNA from 1 species